rnacentral:lncRNA from 1 species
UGCUUUUUGUUUCAAUUUAUUUCAUUUUGUUUGAUUUUGAAUUUUGGCACUCCAAUUUUCUCCUUGAUAAGAAAGACACAAGUUUAGUAGUAUCUUAUUAAAAAAUGAGCCAAAAAUAAAUAAAUUAAAAGCACAAAACUAACUUGCUAUCAACCCAUAACUUGCUCAUCUUAUCGCCCUCUUUCUCCCCACUUCCUUUUUUUUUGUUUGUUUCUCUUUGUCACAUUUUGUUCAUAUCUUUCUGCAUUUUUCCCUUUUGACUUUUCUUUCCUCUCAUAUUUUCCUCCUUUCGACCGUCUCUUUUUCUUCUCCUUGCCCCCAAUCUUUUUCUUCUUUUCCCUACUUUUUUUUACACCACAUUCCACCACCACCCGCACCAUUCUACACUACCAUUUCUUCCUUUGUGGUGCCCAUAUCUCCACAUUGUACCACCAAUUUUCUUCUUUGUCACUGUCCCCUCUCCCAUUUCGUCCUUUUUGCCCCACUACCACCCGUCACUAUCGCACCGUCGCCACGUUGCCGCCGCGCCAUUGUCGUGUCAUCGCCACCAUCAUUCUUCUUCUUGUCACCUCC